rnacentral:ncRNA from 1 species
ACCUGCGCCUCGACUUCCGGUGUCGACAGGCCACGCUGAUCGAUGUCCAGUCAGUAACGUCGGUUGCCGUGGUCAAUGUGAGCUAUGAUCGAAAAGUUACGUAUAUUCUUCAUAAAGUAUGAUUAUUGUGCCUUAAUGCCCGGUUAACCAGGCUUUUAGAAGUCGCUGUUCUGAGCUUAACGUCUGUAUUAAUAGAAACGCCGCAUUCUACACUACAACGUUGAGGCGAGGAAAUGUUCAUACCGUAUGGAUUGUGGUAUCUGGAGACGUCCUCGCAUUUGUUAUGCAAAAUGCAACAAAGCCAGUGAAAUCACUGGCUCGCGUCUUCCGAAGAUGUUUCAAAUCGCACAAGGCGGGAAACGCGACGGCAAUACCAACUUAAAGAUGAUCCGGUUUUGCUAUUCUGCCCGGGCAGCAAACUUGCGAUUAACCGCGCCUGUCGAAUACGCCGUACCGCCGAGGAUCGCACCACAUAAUGCUGCGACGUCAGAAGCAAAGAGUAGCUGAAAUAGCGAAGCGAUGAGGAAUAAUCCCACCAGCGGCGACAUAUAAACCAGUAAUGCGGAGCUAAGCAGGCUGCCUUCGGCGAUCCCCAGUUCCACUUUUUGCCCCGGCACUAACGGUUCAUCACAGGGUACGACAAUGGUAUGCGUGGUUUGCGGGCCAAGUUUAUUCAACACGCGGCUACCGCAACCGGCACGUGAAGCGCAGCUGCUGCAUGAGGCUUUAACAUCUCAACUAACCAGCGCCUGCCCGUUUUCCCAGGAAACGACGGUAGCCCACUCUUUGAUCAUUGCGCUGCCCCGAACUUAAUAUUCUCGGCAAUGCGU